rnacentral:rRNA from 1 species
UGAACGCUAGCUACAGGCUUAACACAUGCAAGUCGAGGGGCAGCAUUUUAGUUUGCUUGCAAACUGAAGAUGGCGACCGGCGCACGGGUGAGUAACACGUAUCCAACCUGCCGAUAACUCCGGAAUAGCCUUUCGAAAGAAAGAUUAAUACCGGAUAGCAUACGAAUAUCGCAUGAUAUUUUUAUUAAAGAAUUUCGGUUAUCGAUGGGGAUGCGUUCCAUUAGUUUGUUGGCGGGGUAACGGCCCACCAGGACAACGAUGGAUAGGGGUUCUGAGAGGAAGGUCCCCCACAUUGGAACUGAGACACGGUCCAAACUCCUACGGGAGGCAGCAGUGAGGAAUAUUGGUCAAUGGGCGAGAGCCUGAACCAGCCAAGUAGCGUGAAGGAUGAAGGCUCUAUGGGUCGUAAACUUCUUUUAUAUGGGAAUAAAGUUUUCCACGUGUGGAAUUUUGUAUGUACCAUAUGAAUAAGGAUCGGCUAACUCCGUGCCAGCAGCCGCGGUAAUACGGAGGAUCCGAGCGUUAUCCGGAUUUAUUGGGUUUAAAGGGAGCGUAGGUGGAUUGUUAAGUCAGUUGUGAAAGUUUGCGGCUCAACCGUAAAAUUGCAGUUGAAACUGGCAGUCUUGAGUACAGUAGAGGUGGGCGGAAUUCGUGGUGUAGCGGUGAAAUGCUUAGAUAUCACGAAGAACUCCGAUUGCGAAGGCAGCUCACUAGACUGUCACUGACACUGAUGCUCGAAAGUGUGGGUAUCAAACAGGAUUAGAUACCCUGGUAGUCCACACAGUAAACGAUGAAUACUCGCUGUUUGCGAUAUACAGUAAGCGGCCAAGCGAAAGCAUUAAGUAUUCCACCUGGGGAGUACGCCGGCAACGGUGAAACUCAAAGGAAUUGACGGGGGCCCGCACAAGCGGAGGAACAUGUGGUUUAAUUCGAUGAUACGCGAGGAACCUUACCCGGGCUUAAAUUGCAACAGAAUAUAUUGGAAACAGUAUAGCCGUAAGGCUGUUGUGAAGGUGCUGCAUGGUUGUCGUCAGCUCGUGCCGUGAGGUGUCGGCUUAAGUGCCAUAACGAGCGCAACCCUUAUCUUUAGUUACUAACAGGUGAUGCUGAGGACUCUAGAGAGACUGCCGUCGUAAGAUGUGAGGAAGGUGGGGAUGACGUCAAAUCAGCACGGCCCUUACGUCCGGGGCUACACACGUGUUACAAUGGGGGGUACAGAAGGCGGCUACCUGGUGACAGGAUGCUAAUCCCAAAAACCUCUCUCAGUUCGGAUCGAAGUCUGCAACCCGACUUCGUGAAGCUGGAUUCGCUAGUAAUCGCGCAUCAGCCAUGGCGCGGUGAAUACGUUCCCGGGCCUUGUACACACCGCCCGUCAAGCCAUGAAAGCCGGGGGUACCUGAAGUACGUAACCGCAAGGAGCGUCCUAGGGUAAAACUGGUAAUUGGGGC